UUAAACUGACAAACUCAUUUUUCUACCGGGACAGGAUGCUGUGCUGGCUGAAGUUCCAUUUCUACAGCAAGAAUCCUAUCUGGAAGCAUAGAAGUUGUCCUCUAGCCACAGCAGCGACAACUUUUUUGAUUGUUGUUGCUGCUUUCUCCCAUCACCCCCAUCCCCUUUUGACAAAGAUCCAACUGUAAAAAGUCUUACGUAACAGUUCAGGACUACUUCGGUUCUUUUACCGGGCAAACAAGAAGGAUUUACUUGUUCGAUUAAGCUCUGCAGUGAAGGUUCUACCUGAGUUAUGAGCAAGUCCUGUGGUGGGCAGGAGGAACCAGUACAACAAUGAGCAUGGAGCCACAAGUUCGCUGUUCAAGUUCUGGCUAUGUGACUCCACUUGGGAGGAAGAAACAGGAAGUGAUAUGGCUGGGCAGAAGAGGAAGUAAUAAGGCAAGGUGGAGACAGGAGUUCGGUCGGCACUUUCAGGCUGAGGAUUCAGUAGAGGUAAGAAGUGUCUCUAGUGGCUGGCUCCUUUACUGAUCUUUCAGCAUUUACCCCAUAUAUCUGGCUCCAGAUUUUUAUUAUUAAGACCAAUUAGGAUUCAUGUCUAUGGUAUGGAUAGAGAUUUGGUUAUAUAGUCCAAGCAGACUUAUAAAGCCUUUGACCUACUCAAACAUAAAACAAAACAUCAUCUUUAGCUGACUUUACACACCACACAUUCCAUACUUGUGUUAAUACAGAUAUAUGUUACCUUUAAAAGUUUAUGUGUUUUCAGAAAAAAAGGACCAGACACCAAAAAAGAAAAGUAGCCCAGGUGAUCCAGCCUCUCAGAAUGCCUCUGUUACAGUUUCCUCAAAAUUCUGCAUCAAGAACAACUAGCUGACAUGGUCUAGCCUUACAGACUAUCCAGCCAAGACUUCAGAAAAGCUCUAUACUUUCCCAUCACACAGAGACUAAACAAAAAAUAAUACAGUUAACUCUCCCAGUACUUGACCAUUAUCCUAAUUUUCACAGAAUCCCCUAAAGAUGCCGUCACCCUGAGAUAACAGGAAGCAAUCUAGAGAAUAUGACACCCACAUUCCCAAGAAGAGGGGUGGGUGGUUUUUGGUUGUUCAAUGGAUUACGGAUGUUUAUCAUCAUUUAAGGGGGUUGGUUACAAGUUGUUGGUCAUCAGGGAAAAAAACAGAACAAAGAAGAUUAGAUUCAGGGAUCUCUUUCUGAAGGAAAAAGGGGGGAUAUAGUAUAGAAAUGAUGGAAUAAAAGGGUGGAUUGUUGAGUCUACUUUUGAACAACCAUUAGUCUCAAGUAUUUUACAUUGGUAUGGAUUUUUAUAUACUGACACAAAUAUAAGGGUUUUUUAUGCUGUAUGUUAUGUUUCUACUCUUGUUUAAGGUUUUGUACCUAUGCAGCUCACUUAAAAAUGUAAAGUUCUAGUCCUUAAAGCCAUUAUUAUAAACCAUUUAGGAUAAUUAAGAAAUGCAGGUUAGUAGUUAGUCAUCCAUAACGAUCAAACUUGCAGUCAUGUUAGGUAUGUCUUCAAGGUCAUACAUAAGAUAUAUUUUUGAUAGAGUGAUGGUCUUCAAACACUUCAAAGACCUACAGAAUAUAGUAUUUAUAAUGUUUUAAUUAAAUAAGGUUUUUUCAUGACAGUGAGACAUAUCUGCUCCUGGCAGCACCAAUUUACAUCAAGAAAAGAUGAUGGGCAUCAAAGAUACGGAGUUUGCUUUAUGUCAAAGCUAGUCAUUUGGGCAAGAAACUGCCCUUGCUUCAACUGCUGACAGUAUGCUGUCCCAAACUGGACUAGCAUGACACAAAAGAAAGCAACUGUCAAGCUUUACCAAGACAAGGUAGGACAGUACUUCAAAAUUCCGGCUUUACAGAAAAAUCUGUCAGAUAUUCUAGACCUGUAGGCUGAAGAUGGAUGCCCAAUGUUACAGAAGAACCUUGGGUGACUGUUCAGGAAGCCAGAUGUCUCUGUCAUUUCUAUAGUUUUAGAAGUUACUUGCUCUGCACUUCCUGUUUACUCAGGUAAUAUUAUAUCCUUCUCCAGUCUUUGAUGGGGUUGAAGACUAGAUAGUUACAGUUUUGUUACCAAAUUCAAAAAAGAAAAAAACAAAAAACUCACAAAAGAGAUAUAAAGGGCAUAAGGUUGAGAGACAUAAAAAGAUAGUUUUGUGUUGGUAAUACAAGUUAGCAUAGAAAGUAAAUUAGGUACAAAACUUUUGACUCACCAAGACAGAAUAAAUAAUAGAAUAUUUUCUCUGAAUUUGCCAAAUACAGAUAGACUGAACGUUGUAAAUGUAACUCUUACCUGAUAAUUGUUCUUUUUUGUUUGUUUGUUUUGUUUUAUUUUUCGAGACAGAGUUUCUCUGUGUAGCUCUGCACCUUUCCUGGAACUCACUUGAUAGCCUAGGCUGGCCACGAACUCACAAAGAUCUACCUGGCUCUGCCUCCCGAGUGCUGGGAUUAAAGGCGUGUGCCACCACCGCCCAGCCUGAUAAUUGUUCUUAUUGUAUUAGUUUUUUACUGUGUUAAGCAUUAAAACCUUCCUUUUUUAUAUAGACAAAAUAGGAAUGUUGUGGGAUAUGUGUACACUGUGAAUAUGUAUUCCUGUGAUUGGUGUAAUAAAAAGCUGAACAGCCAACAGCUAGGCAGGAGACUUCUGGGACUUCCAGGCAGAGAGAGAACACUGGGAAGAAGACAGAGUCACCAGCCAAAUGGAGAGGAAGGAGAAUGAGUACAGAAUAAAGAUAACUGAGCCAUGUAAAAGAACAUAGAUUGUAGAUUAAAAGAUAUGGGUUAAUUUAAGUUAUAAGAACUAGUUAGGGGGGCUGGAGAGACGGCUCAGUGGUUAAGAGCAUUGGCUGCUCUUCCAGAAGACCUGGAUUCAAUUCCUAGUACCCACAUAGUAGCUCACAGUUGUCUGUAACUCCAAGAUCUGACACCCUCACAUAGACAAAUGUGCACAUAAAAUAAAAAUUAAUUUAAAAAAAAGAACUAGUUAGAAACAAG